rnacentral:rRNA from 1 species
GAAAGCUAUUUAGGUAGCGCCUCGUGAAUUCAUCUCCGGGGGUAGAGCACUGUUUCGGCAAGGGGGUCAUCCCGACUUACCAACCCGAUGCAAACUGCGAAUACCGGAGAAUGUUAUCACGGGAGACACACGGCGGGUGCUAACGUCCGUCGUGAAGAGGGAAACAACCCAGACCGCCAGCUAAGGUCCCAAAGUCAUGGUUAAGUGGGAAACGAUGUGGGAAGGCCCAGACAGCCAGGAUGUUGGCUUAGAAGCAGCCAUCAUUUAAAGAAAGCGUAAUAGCUCACUGGUCGAGUCGGCCUGCGCGGAAGAUGUAACGGGGCUAAACCAUGCACCGAAGCUGCGGCAGCGACACUGUGUGUUGUUGGGUAGGGGAGCGUUCUGUAAGCCUGCGAAGGUGUGCUGUGAGGCAUGCUGGAGGUAUCAGAAGUGCGAAUGCUGACAUAAGUAACGAUAAAGCGGGUGAAAAGCCCGCUCGCCGGAAGACCAAGGGUUCCUGUCCAACGUUAAUCGGGGCAGGGUGAGUCGACCCCUAAGGCGAGGCCGAAAGGCGUAGUCGAUGGGAAACAGGUUAAUAUUCCUGUACUUGGUGUUACUGCGAAGGGGGGACGGAGAAGGCUAUGUUGGCCGGGCGACGGUUGUCCCGGUUUAAGCGUGUAGGCUGGUUUUCCAGGCAAAUCCGGAAAAUCAAGGCUGAGGCGUGAUGACGAGGCACUACGGUGCUGAAGCAACAAAUGCCCUGCUUCCAGGAAAAGCCUCUAAGCAUCAGGUAACAUCAAAUCGUACCCCAAACCGACACAGGUGGUCAGGUAGAGAAUACCAAGGCGCUUGAGAGAACUCGGGUGAAGGAACUAGGCAAAAUGGUGCCGUAACUUCGGGAGAAGGCACGCUGAUACGUAGGUGAAGUCCCUCGCGGAUGGAGCUGAAAUCAGUCGAAGAUACCAGCUGGCUGCAACUGUUUAUUAAAAACACAGCACUGUGCAAACACGAAAGUGGACGUAUACGGUGUGACGCCUGCCCGGUGCCGGAAGGUUAAUUGAUGGGGUCAGCGCAAGCGAAGCUCUUGAUCGAAGCCCCGGUAAACGGCGGCCGUAACUAUAACGGUCCUAAGGUAGCGAAAUUCCUUGUCGGGUAAGUUCCGACCUGCACGAAUGGCGUAAUGAUGGCCAGGCUGUCUCCACCCGAGACUCAGUGAAAUUGAACUCGCUGUGAAGAUGCAGUGUACCCGCGGCAAGACGGAAAGACCCCGUGAACCUUUACUAUAGCUUGACACUGAACAUUGAGCCUUGAUGUGUAGGAUAGGUGGGAGGCUUUGAAGUGUGGACGCCAGUCUGCAUGGAGCCGACCUUGAAAUACCACCCUUUAAUGUUUGAUGUUCUAACGUUGACCCGUAAUCCGGGUUGCGGACAGUGUCUGGUGGGUAGUUUGACUGGGGCGGUCUCCUCCUAAAGAGUAACGGAGGAGCACGAAGGUUGGCUAAUCCUGGUCGGACAUCAGGAGGUUAGUGCAAUGGCAUAAGCCAGCUUGACUGCGAGCGUGACGGCGCGAGCAGGUGCGAAAGCAGGUCAUAGUGAUCCGGUGGUUCUGAAUGGAAGGGCCAUCGCUCAACGGAUAAAAGGUACUCCGGGGAUAACAGGCUGAUACCGCCCAAGAGUUCAUAUCGACGGCGGUGUUUGGCACCUCGAUGUCGGCUCAUCACAUCCUGGGGCUGAAGUAGGUCCCAAGGGUAUGGCUGUUCGCCAUUUAAAGUGGUACGCGAGCUGGGUUUAGAACGUCGUGAGACAGUUCGGUCCCUAUCUGCCGUGGGCGCUGGAGAAUUGAGGGGGGCUGCUCCUAGUACGAGAGGACCGGAGUGGACGCAUCACUGGUGUUCGGGUUGUCAUGCCAAUGGCACUGCCCGGUAGCUAAAUGCGGAAGAGAUAAGUGCUGAAAGCAUCUAAGCACGAAACUUGCCCCGAGAUGAGUUCUCCCUGACUCCUUGAGAGUCCUGAAGGAACGUUGAAGACGACGACGUUGAUAGGCCGGGUGUGUAAGCGCAGCGAUGCGUUGAGCUAACCGGUACUAAUGAACCGUGAGGCUUAACCUUACAACGCCGAAGGUGUUU